UACUGCCCAAAUGUUGCAUUUUCCAAGACCACCCUGGCCUGCCAUGCCCCCAUCCUGUGCCUAUAAAAACCCGAGACCCUAGCAAGGCAGAAACAGCAGCAGCUGGAAGUCAAGAGGAGUGCUCUGUGGAGGAACACACCCACAGGCACCAGCAUGCCGGCAGGCCACUGACUGGCAAAACAACGCGGUGUUUGGCUGGGGCAGUCGGAGGAGCGCUCGGGCCGCCAAGCAGACCGACUCCAGGGAAAACCAUCUCCCUUCUGGCUCCCCCAUCUGCUAAGAGGCUUUGGUAAGGCUGUGAGAGCACAGAGCUGAAUUAGGGAUCUUGGACUUCAAGUUACUGACUAGCCCCAGCACUCGCCAAGCUCACAAAGAAGACAGAAACGAGCUUCUCUCCUGAAGCCAGGGAGACCACUAACCCACCAGCAGGAAAGAACAACUCCGGACCCGCCGCCUUAAGAGCUGUUAACACUCACCGCGAAGGUCUGCAGCUUCACUCCUGAGCCAACGAGACCAUG
rnacentral:lncRNA from 1 species